GACGAACGCUGGCGGCAGGCUUAACACAUGCAAGUCGAACGGAAAGGCCCUGCUUUUGUGGGGUGCUCGGAUGGCGAACGGGUGAGUAACACGUGAGUAACCUGCCCUUGAGUUUGGGAUAACUUCAGACAGCUGGUGCUAAUACCGGGUAGGAGCUCCUGCUGCAUGGUGGGGGUGGGAAAGUUUCGGCGGUUGGGGAUGUACUCGCGGCUUAUCAGCUUGGUGGUGGGGUAGUGGCUUAGCACGGCUUGGCGGGGUAGCCGGCCUGCGAGGGGGACCGGCCACACUGGGACUGAGAUACGGCCCAGACUCGUACGGGAGGCAGGGGUGGAGAAGAUUGCAUAACGGGAGGAAGGAAGAUGUAGCAACGCCGCGUGGGGUAUAUGGUCCAGCUCGUAGGAUAGUGCUUUUGUUUGUGCCGAAGCGUUAGUGACGGUAAUGGGUAAAGAAGCACCGGCUAACUACGUG
rnacentral:rRNA from 1 species